UUUGAGGGCUGGCUACCACUGGGGAAGGAUCUCUGGUUGGAGAUCCCUCCCUUGUGGAGUCUUUCAUGCAUGCUUAGGUCUUUAGAGACAGCUUCCAGCCCUUCAGAGGAAGGGAGAAGGAAAGGAUAUGCUCUCAGGAGGCAGGUUAUGAAUCAAGAUCACUUCAUACUGAACACUGACGGGCAGCCAAAGGAAGUUCUGAAGCAGAGGAUUCGUGCAAUAAAGAGGUCCCCUGAGGUCUUCAAUGAGGAGCUGAAAAGUGAUGGAAAGAUGUCUUGAACUUCUUACAUCCCGUGUUCUGCAGCCUGUGAGGAGGUGAAAGCAUGAAGUUUUUUUCUAUUUCAUGAAGAAUGUGCUGAUAAAACAUUGCAUAAUCAAACAAACCUAGGCCAGAAUGGAAUAUUUCGUGUUGAGCUUGUUGACCUGAAUUGUGUUUGUAAGCCUGUGGUGGUACAGCUGCUUUUUCUAAGGUUUGGGGAGAUCCAUCAGAGCACAAAGGCAGGGCUAGCUGUGCGCUGAGCUGAGCAAUGCCCUGCUGCGAUUAGUGGGAUGGCACUUCUGAGGAAGGCAGGACAGUGAGUGAUCCAGCCUCUGCUUUGUGGUUCCUUUUGUUCAUGCCUCUGCCCUGUAUUGUUAUUUCUACUUGCAUCGUUUCCAUUUGAAGACUGACUUCUUUUUAGCAGGGUAAGGAUAUUGUUUGAUCUGCUCCAUGUCAAUGUUCUUUCUCUCUUUUCAGGGCUGCUCAGGGCUUCUGACACUUCGGGUUUGUUUUGUGCUAGCAAGGCUGUCUCGGGGCAUGGAGGGGGCAUGGGGAUCUCAGAGUGCAUCUCUGAAGGGAUAGAGGGGAAGCUGUGGGCUGCCAGUUGUGUCCAGGGUCCUCUCACCAUUCCAUUGUGGCUGGGAGACUUUGUUCCUACAGUGCUCCAUGGCUCUGGAAGCACUGUACUUCUCCAGAUGCAGCUUGUUUUGACAGGACAAAGGCAUACCAGAAAAGUCAGUGUAAAAAUUGUCUUAAAACCUUGUUGGGGGAAGAUUCAGAAAAGAAAGAGUAGGGUCAGCCUUCUGGUUAGAGGUCUUGCACCACUCUGUGGUGAAGGGACUGGGAUACCCUAAGCCCUUUGCUUCCUUGGUUACGCACUUGAGAAAGUCAAGGAAGGCCUGAGUUUGCUCUUUUGCUCUCAGGUUUAUCCCAAAGGCAGCCUGGAUGAGUGGUGAACAUAUGGCAAAGCUAAAAACCUUCUAUUGCCCUUUGCACAAAGUGUGCUGCAGUGGUGGUUGGCUUACAGCCCCACAUGCCCCAGCUGCAGCACAAGGGAUGGGGACAUCAAAGGACAUUUCUCUUUUUUCCUUCAUAGAAAGAGAAGUGCUUUUUCCUGGUUGAAUGCUGAGAUGGAUAAUACAUGGAAUAAACUUCAAGUACUUUGAGAUCACAUUAUUAAGUCUGGUAGUUUCUUGCACCCAGGUAGGCAACAACAGACUCUUGAAGGCCAUU